rnacentral:tRNA from 1 species
AGCAGCAUAGCUCAGUGGAAAGAGCACAGGCUUGGGAGUCAGAGGUCAUGGGUUCGAAUCCCAACUCUGCCA